GAUGAAGAACGCAGCGAAAUGCGAUAAGUAAUGUGAAUUGCAGAAUUCAGUGAAUCAUCGAAUCUUUGAACGCACAUUGCGCCCGCUGGUAUUCCGGCGGGCAUGCCUGUUCGAGCGUCAUUUCAACCCUCAAGCUCUCCGGAGUUUGGUGUUGGGGCGCCUGGGGCUUUUCGACCUUAGGGCCCUCAAGUCCAUCGGCGGGACCGCCAGGACACUGAGCGCAGUAGUAUUAUUUCGCUCGGUAGGAUCUUCCACGGCGGGUCGAUCUGGCCGCUAAACCCCCCAAUUCUCACCAAAGGUUGACCUCGGAUCAGGUAGGAAUACCCGCUGAACUUAAGCAUAUCAAUACGCGGAGGA
rnacentral:misc_RNA from 1 species